rnacentral:lncRNA from 1 species
AAAUGAUAAUAAAGCAGAAACCAAAAGGGAAUGCCAGAAAGGACCAACUAAAGAUACAGGUACUAGUAUAAAUAGAGCAACACCAUGGAAAUGGUCAAAACCGCAAAGUGCAACAAGCGGCAAUACUAACCUAAACUAAACGAAACGAGAAUCUACAUCUGGAUAAACAGGAAGUAAAGGUCCAUGGUCAUGCAAAGCUGCAUCUGAACGAACCAGGGGAGAAUGCUCAUGGUUUUGUUGGGGCAUAAGCAAUGGAUUUUGUACUGGAUUCAAAGCCGCACUUGCAUCUAAUAGAUUAGCUGAAGGAUGGUGAAUGUUCUGAGGAAAUCUAUUAACGAAUGUGUUGGGAUACGAGUAUUGGAUAUGCUGGUCAUCAGAUAAAUGAGAGUGAAUGGGAGGAGGAAGCUGUUGAGGAACAUUCUGUGCUGGAUCAGCCAUAGCGGGGAGAGGAUUGUAAUAUUGAUACGGUAGAGCUUGCUGCGAUUGCAUAUGCGGGCUAGGUGCUGAUGCUGAGUCAUGAGCAGAGGGUCCCAUUGUAUGAGGCAUUGCAGCCUGCGUUGCAGCAGCGGCACUUAGCACAGGUAACGUACCAACGUUAUGAACAGAUAAAUCACGAGAUGAACGGACAGUCAGAGUUUCAUCGGAUGGUUUUGCCUCCGGUUCAAUUCGUUCAGAAUAGUGAUCGCGCAUAGUCAUUCCAUUAGGAUCGUAUUGAGAAUGCUGAGGGUAUAAGUGUAUACGCUGUAACUGGGAGGGGUCUUUAAUUGACAUGGAAGACUGCAUUGAAAGAUUAGAAGGAUAUUCCGACUUUUGCUCUUGAUUAACGCCGUAAAUGGAAGACUGCAUAUAAGCAUGUGCUGGUGCUUGCAUGUUUUGCCCAUCCUCCGCUGAAGAAGAAUAUGAAGCUGGAAAAAUGGACUUGUUUAGAGAGGGGUACUGACUUGCAAAAGAAGCUCCAUUUGCAUGCGCCAUUGAAGGGCUGGAUGUAGAAUUAGGAGCAGACAAAGAAUCAGUAGGCCCUGAAUUUGAGUUAGGAGAGGGUGAAUGAAGAUGAUUGGAAUGAGGUGUGUAUGAAUUCAUGGGUAAUCCAUUGACAGCAGUUGGUCCGUUAGAAAUUUGUUGAGGAACCGACGCUGUAGAAUACAUAGGUUGUUCAGAUGUAUAACUGGGUUGGUGAUUUCCAGGCUUACUUUCAAGAUAAGAUGGUUGAUUUGGAGUAUAUCGAUCAUAGGAAUAAGAAUUAACAGGCAUCGAUUGUGAUGAUUGCAUAUAGGAUAUGUUGGCAUGAGUAUUGUCCAUUGGAAGGGCAUUAUUACCGUCAGGAUGAGCAGCAGAUUGGUUUGAAGAAGCAAACAUGGUGGAGCCCAUUGGGACAUUUCUAGAUUGGUAGAUGAAAGGAUACAAAGCUUGUGGCUGACCGUUAACGGCAUGUUGAGCAGCAGGGAAUGGAUGAGAUUGUUGCUGUCGAGAGAAACGUUGAGAGGGUAUUUGGAAAGGCUGCUGCAAAUAAGGAAGAGAUGGCAUGCUAGAAUAGCCAGACUGUGGAGGAGUCAAAGAAGAGUGCGCAUUGUGUGCAUCAGCCAUAGUUGAAGGAUCCACACCCAUGUGAGGGGGAAGCGAGCUAUGGUGAGGAGGAUGGAUGGCACCCAUAUCUAAAUGGCUCGAAGAAGAAGAUGAUAUAGUAGCGACGGGAUCAGGAAGAGUGCUAAUGGGAGGAGCAACGUUAGGAUUGGAAGUUGUAGACGACGAAGAGUUAUCAGCAGACAAAAGACAAGAGUUGGCCAUCAAAGGGAUAGAGUUAUUGGGAGA